rnacentral:rRNA from 1 species
AUAUUAGAAAUGGACGAAAGUCUGAUCUAGCAACACCGCGUGUGCGAAGAAGGCCUUCGGGUCGUAAAGCACUUUUUGGAAGGAAUAGGAAGGAAUGUACUUCCAGAAUAAGUCUCGGCUAACUACGUGCCAGCAGCCGCGGUAACACGUAGGAGGCGAACGUUAUCCGGAUUUACUGGGCGUAAAGCGCGUGUAGGUGGUACUGUAAGUAGGGCGUGAAAGCUGCUGGCUCAACUGGGAGACGCCGUUCUAAACUACA